rnacentral:rRNA from 1 species
GAUGAACGCUGGCGGCGUGCCUAAUACAUGCAAGUCGAGCGAACGGACGAGAAGCUUGCUUCUCUGAUGUUAGCGGCGGACGGGUGAGUAACACGUGGAUAACCUACCUAUAAGACUGGGAUAACUUCGGGAAUCCGGAGCUAAUACCGGAUAAUAUUUUGAACCGCAUGGUUCAAAAGUGAAAGACGGUCUUGCUGUCACUUAUAGAUGGAUCCGCGCUGCAUUAGCUAGUUGGUAAGGUAACGGCUUACCAAGGCAACGAUGCAUAGCCGACCUGAGAGGGUGAUCGGCCACACUGGAACUGAGACACGGUCCAGACUCCUACGGGAGGCAGCAGUAGGGAAUCUUCCGCAAUGGGCGAAAGCCUGACGGAGCAACGCCGCGUGAGUGACGAAGGUCUUCGGAUCGUAAAACUCUGUUAUUAGGGAAGAACAUAUGUGUAAGUAACUGUGCACAUCUUGACGGUACCUAAUCAGAAAGCCACGGCUAACUACGUG